rnacentral:lncRNA from 1 species
UUUACAUAUAUCGCAUCAGCUUCAACAACCGUAACCGUGUGAUUUGCGAUGCUAAAAAAGAGCUCGUCAUUAAGUGCAGCAUUGAUUAGCCUGAGAAGGUAUGUUUUUCCUGGCUUCACUCUCAGUCUGAAUGUAUCUGUUUACAUCAUUGGUUACGUUGAUUAGUGGGCUAUAAUUUAUUAAACCAUAAUUAGAUAUAGGAAUCAAUAAUUACCUUUGGCAGAGCAGUUAUAUAAUGGACCAGGAAGCCCAUUGAUCGUGUAAGCAUCAGAGACAUUAGGACCUCCUCCUGUUUGUGUUGCUUGGCGGAUGAUUGCCUCAGGGUCUGCGUUGAACCACUCCCCUGCAAGUUAACCAUAAAAAAUCAGCUAUUAUGUUUAUAAACUCUCAUCAGAUUCUCAGUCUGCUUCUAUUCCUCAUCAUCCUUACCAAAGAUCAUGGGAACUUCUUUGUGAGGUUUAGCAAACGGGUAAGGAACACCGCGUUUGGGAAGGAUGAUAAGUGGACCAUAGACUGUUGCUCUUAGCCAUGAAAUGUGAGCAUGAUAAAACAGGGUGCCUCUUUGACCAACAAUGGUAUAGUUGUAGACAUAGCUUUGUCCUGUCUGAAUAGGACAUUGGGUUAUAUAGGCUGGUCCAUCAGCCCAGCCACUUCGUAGUUGUCGGAUCCCAUGCCUGCGAUUUUUCACGCAUUAAAGCCAGCUAUAUGUAAUCAACCGUUACUCUUAUUAAUGAUACAAGUGGUUUGAAGAUUAUUUACCAGUGGAUAGAGAUGUUGUUUGGCACUUGAUUAACGACUUUGAUCAGAAGCUGGUCACCUUCUCUAGCAAUAAGCUUAGGUCCUGGAAACUGCCCGUUUACAGAAACAAGGCUCUUUGUGUGGCAAAGCCGUGUCACGUUCUGCAUUUUGAUCUGCGAAAACGUAACAAUAUUCAAUCAUUAUUUGCAUUCCCAUUUAAACUACUACACAGAAGAAACAAAUCCUUCACAUACUUCCAGCGUAUAAUGCCUUGUAAUCCCAAAUGCAGGUUGAGGAAGAAGGAGAACACAAGAGAAAAUAGCUAAGAGAAGCUGAAACGCCAUUUGAGUGAGCUUUGGACCCCGAGGCUUUGAUUAUAGCAAGUAAGUUUUACUGAAUACUCUGCCUCGGUUAUUUGUUUAUGUAUUUGCUGUAGAUUGUGGAUUCAUUGUUUCAACAUUUAGUGUAUAUAUAGGAAGGAGAGUUAGGUGUUUGCUUGAGCAAGAGAGCUAGAAAAAACAAUUAGUAAAUGUUUUGGAAAAAAACAAAAAGAUAAUUGGUAGAGAAGUACUCCCUGUAAUCAGAAACACUUGAUAUUGACAAGUUGUUAGAUUAUGUAUGAACAGCUAAUGUAUGAGUGGUGUCAAAGAUAAGUCAAACUCUUUGACCCUCUUCAAUUCCUCGAAAACUAUUGUUUCCUUCUCGAUACUAUGGCGUAGAUUCUAAAUAUGAAAUGUAAAAUUGCCAAUUUUAGUUUCUCAGAUAUGACAGUUCCUCUUCCUGUGCUGCAUCUUUGACAGCUUUGAGUAUAUUAGACUUCAAAUUUUUGACAUGAGAAAGUAAGUGACUUGGACUAAAUGUGGCAGUUUAGGAAUAUCGUUUUGGCUAAGUUUUGCUUAGACCCAAAACACAACUCUACGUACGAACAUCAAAAUUUUACGCACUCUUGGAUUUUCUUGGAAGGGGUAACUUUUGUGAUUAUAGUGGUUAUGUUUUAGUAAAUUACAUUUCAAUUUCAUCAUUUCAUAAGCAUGUUAUAAGUGAUAAGUACUUCAUCUCUGUUUGUUAAUUAUUUUAAUUUAUUUUAUUUGUAGGUGAGGAACUUUUUAAAGGAGAUUUAACCGAUGUGGAGUUAGUCAAAACAUUCGUAAGCUAAAAUUGCUUGGGGUAUAAGCAAGGAGAGGGAGAUUGUAG